CUUUGCUAGCUUCCACAUGACACCUGAAUUUAUUUCGAUCCUAACAAGUGGUAUCAGAGCCAGCUUCGAGCGAGGUUCCAAAACAGGUUCAUCUGGGCAGGUUCAAUUCUAGCCGCAAUAUAUUUGACGAUAAUCGUGAUUUUUGUCUGAGAAAUUUGACUAGUGUGCUACGCUCGUUGAGACAAACUUUGUGAUUGAGAUUUGGAGAUGCAACCUAUUGAAGGCUAUGUGAAGAAGAUGGAUCAAGUUUAUUUUGUCAGAAAAUUCAGGCCAAGGGGGAGAAUUGUUAGGUGUUUGCCAUAAAUUUCUUACUAAGAAGAAACCAUCUAAGUUUAUUUUGUCAGAAAAUUCAGGCCAAGGGGGAGAAUUGUUAGGUGUUUGCCAUAA
rnacentral:lncRNA from 1 species